CCCACCUCCAAACUCAGUACUUGUGCAUUGGCUGAAGUAUUUUGUCCCUUGGGAGGACCCGUAGCUCCAGCCUCCCGGUGUCCGUAGCCGGGAAACCUGGCGUCCGGCGUUUUAGGCUGAGGUCCGCGAUGUCGAGUGAGGAAGUCCGGCACCGGGCAGAGUCCUCUGAGGCCCGUGCGGCCGCGGUCAGCGACAUCCAGGAGCUGAUGCGACGCAAGGAGGAAAUCGAGGCGCAGAUCAAGGCUAAUUACGACGUCCUGGAGAGCCAAAAAGGAAUUGGCAUGAACGAGCCUCUGGUGGACUGCGAGGGCUACCCCCGGGCAGAUGUGGAUUUGUAUCAGGUCCGAACAGCAAGGCACAACAUCAUCUGUCUCCAGAAUGAUCACAAGGCACUGAUGAAGCAGGUGGAGGAGGCCCUACACCAGCUACACGCUCGGGACAAAGAGAAGCAGGCUCGGGACAUGGCUGAAGCGCGAGAAGAGGCCAUGAACCGUAGGCUGGCCUCGGACAGCCCCCCCCUACCCAAGGCCUUUGCCAAAGUGAACAGUAUCAGCCCUGGUUCCCCAGCCAGUAUUGCGGGCCUGCAAGUGGAUGAUGAAAUUGUGGAGUUCGGCUCUGUGAACACCCAAAACUUCCAGUCUCUGCAGAACAUGGGCACUGUGGUGCAGCACAGCGAGGGGAAGCCCCUGAAUGUCAUGGUGAUCCGCAGAGGGGAGAAGCACCAGCUCAGACUGACUCCCACCCGCUGGGCAGGAAAAGGACUGCUGGGCUGCAAUAUUACCCCUCUCCAAAGAUGACUGCUUCCUGGGAGCUGCAGGAGAGCUUCUUCAGCUGGGCCCGCGCUUGGCCUGGGGGAUUUCCUCAUUCUCUCGGCUCCCUCAAGUGGACUCUGAGCAAUUCUGACUGUCCUGGAACUUCCUCUAUAGACCACGCUGGCCUUGAGCUGACAAGAGAUCCUCCUGCCUCUGCCUCAUUAGAGGCAUGUACUGACAUGGCUGGCUAGACUUUGAGAAAUAUGUAUUAUACACAUACAUACGUACAUACAUACACACACACACAUAUACACACAUAUAUACAUACAUAUACACAUAUAUACAUACAUACAUACACACAUAUAUACAUGCACAUGGUACAUUUCUAUAUUUCCUGUCACUUCCAGUCCCUCUCAGACGUCCUCUCAUGCUCACUUUCUAGCUGCCUGCCCUCUCUUUCCUUUUUAAAUAAACAGCCUACUGAGUGCAA